AGGAGGCCGGCCCCGCCGACGCCGGGAAAGCCCGCGCCGCCAUCUCGCCGAACAGCAUCGAGUUGAGCAUCAUUUUCAGCGGCGUCGCCCUCCCUUUAUCCUUCACUGAGGCAUCAAAAGACAUCUUUGGAAGCAACCCCAUCCCUUUGAUAUGCCCAGAUGCAAAUAAAGGGAAGAAAAAGAACUGGGGAAAACAGCUGACACAAGUCCAGAGAUUUUGCUGUAGUAAUCCAGAAAAAGACACUGCCCCACCCUAGGCUUGGGGUGGAUUAACUAACAGAUGUGGGGCUGAACCGAAUUCCUGGAAGGCCAGAGAGGAAAACAAAUUCUCCUGGAACAUUAAAAUGCCUAGCAAAGCUCAGCAGAUCAAGAAGCACAGAUCAGAACAUCCCACCAGACUAGAAAGGCAACAACAUGAACCAUCGAGAAUACUUCACAGAUUUGGAACUGCAGUCUGAAUCGGAGAACAAGAUUUGUGAAAAAUAAAACACCAUCUAGUGUUACUGAGUCCUCACUGAGAUUUUGAAAGCCAAGGGUGGAACCUCGGAGUGAAAUUGGCACAUUGUGCUGUUGUGGAGCUCCCAUUCACUCUCAACAGGGCUUGUUGUGGGUUGUGUGCCCCUAAAAAAUCUCCAUGUUCGGAGGUUUCAAAAACUGGUUUCAGCCAGAAAUCUCCACCGUCUCCUUUGUGUUUAGGAACAUUAGAAGAGACAGCUGAAUCAGGCCAAUGGCCCAUCUAGCCCCACAUCCUGUUCUCAUUGUGGCCAACCAGGUGCCUGUGGGAAACCGCAGCACUCUCCCCUUCUAACCGUGGAGGCAGAGCAGAGCCAUCAUGCUUAGUAGCCAUCAAAAGGCCUCUCCCCUCCAUGAAUUUGUCCAUUCCUCUCUUAAAGCUAUCCAAGUUGGUGACCCAUUGGCAGGUCAGCUGUCUGCUUCAUGAAGUCAUCCUUUCUUUUCUCUGUCCCAACAUGCAACUUUGUUGGCUGUCCAUGAAUUCUAGUGUUAGGAGAGAGGGAGGAGAACUUUUGAGAACAGCCUUUGCCAAACUGGUUCUUGCCUUGCCAGAUGUUGGACUAUGACAUCCAUCAGCCCCAGCAUCAUGGACUGGCAGGAGUCGUGGUCUGAAACAUCUGGAGGGUGCUGGGUUUGCAAAGCCUGUGUCAGAAGGAAGAGGAUAUUGAUUUGUAGCAAGCUUUACUCAACUACUUCAGGUAGGAAUCUGGGCCUGGAGGGGAGAAGCAGACUUAAAUUCCUUAAGAAGCUAAUGGAGGGCAAAAUGGGCUCUUACAUAACCAUUCUUUCAUCUCCCACACCCCUUGGGAUAGUGGGAGAACAUUUAAAGCCACAUGGAAAUCCUCAGAUAAAUCAUCCAGCAACCCUCCACCACACCCACCCCUUGGGGCUUCCUAAGAGGGGAGGGUUCCACGUUAUUAGGCACGAGAGUUGUAUAGACUAUGUAAUACAUUUGUAUGUGUGCGCAUUUCCAGUCACUGUUGGUUUAGCAGAAUUUCUGCAGAAAUCAGAGCUGUGCCAGGAGAUGGGAGGACGAGGUGGUCCAGAGAGGAACAACUAUGAAGAACCUCUUUAGAAGAAGAAGAAGAAAAAGCACACCAGAUGACAGUUCAGUGGUGUGCGGUCAGUGGACUAAGGGGACUAGGCUAGUCCCCUAAACGUUUCCCUGGCGCCUCCUUCCCAAAGCCUGGGCAGCUUCUGCCUGGCUUAGGGAGGGAGGUGCAAUGCUCACACGUGUGACAUCGGGACGUGUGUGGCAUCCCCCCUCCCCAAUCACCCUCGCAAGUUUGCGCCUCAGGCCCUAACUGUUCCCCUGUGAAAAAUUUCACUGCACACCACUGUUACAGUUCCGGGCAUGCACCUGGGAACUUGCACAAACAGAGGCUCCAAACAGAUAAAAGGCCAUCUUGUUAAUUUUUUAUAGGAGUGAGCUAAUAAGAAAUCUUAGGGACAACUACAAGGUUUCAGAAUGAGAGAGAGAAGCUCCACCACCUCCAUUGGCUGGUUUUCAGAACCUGCGAGCAUUGCCUCACCCAGAACAGAACUGAUGUGACUCUCUGCAGCUCAAACUUCAAGAAGAGACGUGCUGUCAGAAUCAUGCCCACAGAAGCGCAGAAAGUGGAGGCAACACAAUUGCAACAGCAGCAUGGAGGACAGGCCUUGGCCGCUAUUGGGGGGGAAAUACUUAGGGGUCAAGUUAAUGAGCAGCCCAGCUUGUGUAACUCUGCAAUUCCAGGGUAGUGCAGAAAGUUCACAGAAAGGGGUGUUGUACACAGAAUUCAGCUUCCAAAAACUUUUUAAACCCAAAGAUUCUGGUCUGGGUGACACAGCUGUGAAAAUCGGCUUGAAAGCAUGUGAGCCAUUGUUGUUGAAACCUCAGAAGCCGGAGAUGGCAGCCCCCUAAGAUGUCCGUAGUUGGGUUGUUAGCAAAGUCAGUUGAAUAAUGCAAAUGGGAGUCCAGAGAGAGAGAAGAACCUGGUCAGACUUUACUGAGGAAACAGAACACAAACAGUUUAUAAUUUGAGGAAAGAGGAACAGAAAAGCAUACAGCAAGAAUGACCUUGUCCCAAUAUUUCAGCCUGAUGUACAUCAGUUCACAGGGGACUAAUCUCUUCCCUCCCUCUUUCUCAGUUCAGCCAAGGGCAGAUGUCAUUAUAGCAACUGGGUGUUGAAGCCUCACUUCAAGGCUGUCUCCAUGGCGCCUUCCGCAAAAAGCUUAAUGAGCUGGAGCAAAACCCGGUUUCCCAGCCGUUGGCCGCUUGCACCUCAGAAAGAUCACUCCCAGGCACAGCUGCGAUGAUGAUACAAGAAAACUGACGCAGAACUUUGCUGCAUUGACUGAAAGCAUCCCUCUUAGGAGUUUAGCACCAAGCCCUUCCACCACCACCUCCUCGCCCACGACACACCUUUCCUGACCACAAGCACUUGUAUAUGCAAAAAAUUUCAUACACUCCUGAAGACAGAUCCAGACAACACCUCUGUGUUGGCUCUUGCUGCUGGAGGUGGAAGGCUUGCCCAUCUCACUCCUGUGCCCUGCUUCUCUUACAGCAGGCCACGUAUGAAAUAAAACGCAAAGUGUACGUAGAUU